UACGGAGGGUGCAAGCGUUAUCCGGAUUCACUGGGUUUAAAGGGUGCGUAGGCGGGCAGGUAAGUCAGUGGUGAAAUCUCCGAGCUUAACUCGGAAACUGCCGUUGAUACUAUUUGUCUUGAAUAUUGUGGAGGUAAGCGGAAUAUGUCAUGUAGCGGUGAAAUGCUUAGAUAUGACAUAGAACACCAAUUGCGAAGGCAGCUUACUACACAACGAUUGACGCUGAGGCACGAAAAGCGUGGGGGAUCAAACAGG
rnacentral:rRNA from 1 species